CCCUUAGAUGUUCUGGGCCGCACGCGCGCUACACUGACGAAGUCAGCGAGCAUGUCCUACGCCGACAGGUGCGGGGAAUCUUGUCAAACUUCGUCGUGAUGGGGAUUGAUUUUUGAAAUUCUUGAUCAUAAACGAGGAAUUCCUAGUAAGCGCAAGUCAGCAGCUUGCGUUGAUUACGUCCCUGCCCUUUGUACACACCGCCCGUCGCUACUACCGAUUGAAUGGUUUAGUGAGAUCUUCGGAUUGGCGCCACUGCAGCUCAGCAAUGGGCUUGGUGGAUGCCGAAAAGUUGCUCAAACUGUAUCAUUUAGAGGAAGUAAAAGUCGUAACA
rnacentral:rRNA from 1 species